rnacentral:rRNA from 1 species
UACGUAGGCAGCAAGCGUUGUUCGGAGUUACUGGGCGUAAAGGGUGCGUAGGCGGUCCUAUAAGUAUGGUGUGAAAUCUCCCGGCUUAACUGGGAGGGUGCGCUAUAGACUGUGGGACUAGAGUGUGGGAGAGGAAAGUGGAAUUCCUGGUGUAGCGGUGAAAUGCGUAGAUAUCUGGAAGAACACCGGUGGCGCAAGCGGAUUGCUGGGCCAUAACUGACACUGAGGAACGAAAGCUAGGGUAGCGAAUGGG